rnacentral:lncRNA from 1 species
AGCCAACGUGGUGUUGGGCUGAAAUGGGCACUUGAACUCGGGCCAGCGCUAUCUGGGUGAUUCUGGAAAUGGCUGCCAAGUAGAUGCUGCAUGGCCCAUCCCUGUGGCUUUGGAAUGGCCCUAAGGGGAGAGCCACACUCCGGAGGCUGGAGCCCAUCUGACACAACCACAAGGCUGGUGCCGAGAGAGAGCUUCUUCACAGAGCUGCAAGAGGCUGCCUGCGUUUGGGAGUUCUCUCUGAACGAUGAGAAGACAGGUGCAGAAAAAAACUCAAUCAAAUCACACAACUAUCAAGUAGCAGAGCUGCGACGCCAGCCCAGGCAGUCUGAUUCUGAUCCCACGGUCUCAAAUACACCACUUAUUCUUUGAGCUUCUACCUGCAGGGAAGUGGGGGUGACCUUGCAGAUGUCAAAGAGAUAAAACAAAAGUUGGCGUGAACAAGUAGGAAAACUAUUGAUUUGACCAGGCCACGUGAGGUCCUGAAGUAGUCAUUGUGAAGGGAAGGGACGGUCUACAUGGACUUAAGUCUGAGAUGAUUUGUGGAGGGAACAGAGUUUCAGGAGCUGCUGGACGGUGGAAGGGCAAGGCCCAAGGGACUGUGGAAAUCCAGGCACGGUAGGUCCUAUAGGCAGCCAAGGGAAGGGACACACAACCUCAAGGCCAGAGCUUCGCCGAUUCAGCCCUGGGCCCACUGCAGGCUCAUCCCAAACCUCCCACACACCCCAAAGGCAGCUCAGUCCCUACAGAGUUCCACUGUCCCUACCAAGUGAUGGAUGCCAGAUGCCGCAGCCCUCACGAAAGGA